rnacentral:lncRNA from 10 species
CCGAGACCGAGCCAUUGCACUCCAGCCUGGGUGACAGAGUGAGACUCCAUCUCAAAAAAAAAAAUAAAUAAAAAACAAAAAACUAACUGGACAUGGUGGCCUUUACCUAUAGUCCCAGCUACUCAGGAGGCUGAGGUGGGAAGAUUGCUUGAGCCCAGGAAGUUGAGGCUGCAGUGAGCCAUGAUGACUCUGCUGCACUCCAGCCUGGGCAACAGAGAUCCUGUCUUUAAAAAAAAAAAAAAUCUGUCUAAUUAUUUAGUUUUAUAGCCAAUACAACUUGGGCCCAGAGACAGUAAGUGACACACCCAUGCUUAUCCAGAGGGACGUCUAGUGCUGAGUCCUCUCAUUUCCAUGUCAGAACACUUCCUGUCUCACUGCACUGCUGCUGUUUUCUCUCUAUACCCAGCAGGACCACAUAGUUAUUUCUACACCUCCAGGUACAGGGCCAGCCACACAGGAAGCCUCCAAAAAAGGACUAAUGGAACCCAAAUUUGAUUCCCCACAUCUCAUAUCCUUUCGUCCGGUUUGUGAACUAGUGCUCUGCAGGCCACGAUGGCCCCAGGCAGGUGUGUUUCGUUUGGACUGCCCAACGUUUAUUUUGUAUUUGUUACCCACCGAUUUCACUUUUUUUUUUUGAGAUGGAGUCUUGCUUUGUCACCCAGGCUGAAGUGCAGUGGCACCACCUCGGAUCACUGCAACCUCCACCUCCUGGGUUCAAGCGAUGCUCCUGCCUCAGCCUCCUGAGUAGCUGGGACUACACGCGCACGCCACCACACCUGGCUAAUCUUUGUAUUUUUGUUUUUUUUUUUUUUUUUUCUGAGACAGAGUUUCACUCUUGUUGCCCAGGCUGGAGUGCAAUGGCACGAUCUCAGCUCACCGCAACCUCCGCCUCCCAGAUUCAAGUGAUUCUCCUGCCUCAGCCUCCCAAGUAGCUGGGACUAGAGGCAUGCGCCACCACGCCCAGCUAAUUUUAUAUUUUUUAGUAGUGAUGGGGUUUCUCCAUGUUGGUCAGGCUGGUCUCGAACUGCCGGCCUCAAGUGAUCUGCCUGCCUUGGCCUCCCAAAGUGCUGGGAUUACUGGCGUGAGCCACUGCACCCGGCCUAAUUUUUGUAUUUUUAGCAGAGACGGGGUUUCACCAUGUUGGUCAGGCUGGUGUUGAACUCCUGACCUCGUGAUCCGCCCAGUUGGGCCUCCCAAAGUGCUGGGAUUUUAGGUGUGAGUCACCGCACCUGGCCUGAUUUCACAUUUUAAAACCUGCCACAGAAUGGAUGUCCAAACUGUCGUAGAAAAACCAGAGUUUCUGUAGCUGCACUGUCUGGUAGGGUAGCCAGUGGUUAUGUGUGACUGUCAAGCCCCUGAAACCUGGCGAGUCCAAACUGAGGCGUGCUAUUGGUGUAAAUACACGAUGGGUUUCAAAAACUUAGUACCAAAGAGUGGAAAAUGCCUCACUAAUAAUUUUUAUAUUGAUUACAUGUUGAAAUGAUAUUUUGGAUAUAUUGACAUAAAUAAAAUAUUAAAAUUAAUU